rnacentral:rRNA from 1 species
UACGUAGGGUGCAAGCGUUGUCCGGAUUUAUUGGGCGUAAAGCGCUUGUAGGCGGUCUGUCGCGUCUGCUGUGAAAAUCCGGGGCUCAACCCCGGACUUGCAGUGGGUACGGGCAGACUAGAGUGUGGUAGGGGAGACUGGAAUUCCUGGUGUAGCGGUGAAAUGCGCAGAUAUCAGGAGGAACACCGAUGGCGAAGGCAGGUCUCUGGGCCACUACUGACGCUGAGAAGCGAAAGCAUGGGGAGCGAACAGG